GGCGAAACGAAACUUGUGAAUCGUGCAUUUGCUCUUCAUGGUAGCUGCCAAAAAAUCGAAUCAAACUUAUGGGACACUGGAUUACAGGUUGCUGCCACUACUCCAUGUGCCCGCAAUUGUCUUGCGUGUAUGAUUACACUAACGGCGUCGCCCACCACGGCGGAAGUGUUUUGCGUACACGCGUUUCAGCAUGAAGCCUGCAGGUGGACGUAAAUUGUAGAAGGCAGCUAGUGGGGGAGAAGAUCAUGGUCAUAGGUCAUGUGACUCCUGGAGCUCCCAGUGGGCUCCCUUGUGGAGUACUUUUCAGAACACACACACAUACAGUUUGCUCACAGAACCAACGAGUAGGAUGUUGCUUGAAUACUGAGAGAAAAUGGCGUAACACAUACAAAUAUCGUGUGACACAUAUGACAAUAAAAACAUUUUUCACGAGGGAUGCAUGAAACACUGUCGCAAUAUUGUGUGCAUGAACCAUUGUGUGUGACACAAGCCGUGGGGCACACCGCCUCGGACA